CAAUAGCGUAUAUUUAAGUUGUUGCAGGUAAAAAGCUCGUAGUUGGAUUUCGGGUGGGACGCAGCGGUCUCGCAUUGCGUUUGUACUGCUGCAGCCCUCCUUCUUGCCGGGGGCGGCCUCUCGGACUUCACUGUCUGGGGGUCAGAAUCGGCGAUGUUACUUUGAGUAAAUUAGAGUGUUCAAAGCAAGCUUACGCUCUGAAUAUAAUAGCAUGGGAUAACACGACAGGACUCUGGCCUAUCGUGUUGGUCUAUAGGACCAGAGUAAUGAUUAAGAGGGACAGUCGGGGGCAUUCGUAUUCCGUUGUCAGAGGUGAAAUUCUUGGAUUUACGGAAGACGAACAUCUGCGAAAGCAUUUGCCAAGGAUGUUUUCAUUGA
rnacentral:rRNA from 1 species